rnacentral:rRNA from 1 species
GAUGAACGCUGGCGGCGUGCUUAACACAUGCCAGUCGAACGGAAAGGCCAGUGCUUGCACUGGUACUCGAGUGGCGAACGGGUGAGUAACACGUGGGUGAUCUGCCCUGCACUUCGGGAUAAGCCUGGGAAACUGGGUCUAAUACCGGAUAGGACAAUGGUUUGGAUGCCGUUGUGGAAAGUUUUUUCGGUGUGGGAUGAGCUCGCGGCCUAUCAGCUUGUUGGUGGGGUAAUGGCCUACCAAGGCGUCGACGGGUAGCCGGCCUGAGAGGGUGUACGGCCACAUUGGGACUGAGAUACGGCCCAGACUCCUACGGGAGGCAGCAGUGGGGAAUAUUGCACAAUGGGCGCAAGCCUGAUGCAGCGACGCCGCGUGGGGGAUGACGGCCUUCGGGUUGUAAACUCCUUUCGCUAGGGACGAAGCGUAUUUGUGACGGUACCUGGAGAAGAAGCACCGGCUAACUACGUG